UAGGCAGAAGCCAAUGGGUUGUGGCAUCUAGCUGUUAACUAGAAUUGUAUGGGAUCGAGGCCCAUCUGCCUAG
rnacentral:tRNA from 1 species